UACGGAGGGAGCUAGCGUUUAUUCGGAAUUACUGGGCGUAAAGCGUACGUAGGCGGCUUUGUAAGUAAGAGGUGAAAGCCCGGAGCUCAACUCCGGAACUGCCUUUUAGACUGCAUCGCUUGAAUCCAGGAGAGGUGAGUGGAAUUCCGAGUGUAGAGGUGAAAUUCGUAGAUAUUCGGAAGAACACCAGUGGCGAAGGCGGCUCACUGGACUGGUAUUGACGCUGAGGUACGAAAGCGUGGGGAGCAAACAGGGA
rnacentral:rRNA from 1 species